rnacentral:rRNA from 1 species
CCCUUAGAUGUUCUGGGCCGCACGCGCGCUACACUGACUGACUCAACGAGUUUACAACCUGUGCCGAAAGGUAUGGGUAAUCUUUUGAAAUUCAGUCGUGAUGGGGCUAGAUUAUUGCAACUAUUAAUCUUCAACGAGGAAUGCCUAGUAAGCGCGAAUCAUCAGUUCGCGUUGAUUACGUCCCUGCCCUUUGUACACACCGCCCGUCGCACCUACCGAUUGAAUGGUCCGGUGAAAUCUCGGGACGGCGGCUUGGUCGCUUGCGUCCGACUGCUGAAACUUGAUUAAACCAUAUCAUUUAGAGGAAGGUGAAGUCGUAACA